ensembl:lncRNA
UGGAGACAGAGCUGGUUGGCAGCGCGUCUGACUGAGACUGACUUGUCUCCUGCCCGUGGUGGGAUAGAGAUGGAACUGGCACAGUGAUGGCACCACCACAAGCCCUGGUCUGCUUAGGUGCCUGCUCUGGGGACGAGAGCCUGAACAUGCAGCUGUGUGAAGUCCAUCCAUCAAGGCAAGCUUGGUCGGGAACUCCUGAUGACUGCCCUGACUUCCCCAGCGGUUUCUGCCGGGUGUUGAGGAGGAACCUGAGAAGAGAAGUUUUAGCAUCCAAGGUCACUUGGAAGGACUUUGAAUGGCUUACCCAGGAUGUCUCAGAUGGUUCAUGGGUGAAAGAGGGGCAUCGACAGCCCACCCUGCAUGGUUGAAGUACAGAUUAGAGACCAUGAGUAAAGUGACACAGGCCAGGAAUCAUUAAGAUGGCUGCCCCUUCCAGGUGUGUGUGUGUGUGUGUGUGUGUGUGGGUGUGUGUGUGUGUGUAUUUGUGGCAGGGUUUCUCUGUGUAGCUCUGGUUGUCUUGGAACUCAGUUUGUAGACCAGGCUGACCUCAAACUCAGAGGUCUGACAGCCUCUGCCUCCAGAGUGCUGAAUUAAAGGUAUACACCACCACGGCCUGGUUAGGAAUAAUAUCUUCAAUCCACACAAAAGUUUCUGAGGAAGGCAAUUAGAACUUAGGGCCAAAGAUGAGAAAUUGGCUAUUGUGGGCUGGUGGGAUAGGUCAGCCGGGUAAAGUGCUUAUGUGAAAAGACUGAUGAUCUAAGUUAGGUCCGCAGUGGAGGGAGAAAACCGAUUCCUGAAAUCACCCUCUUAGGUUCACAUACAUGCUGUAGUACUGUGGCAUGCGCAUGUCCAAACACCCCCAACCUGCCUCCCACACCUAAGAAAUACGUCUCAGAAAGAGACAGAAACCAGUCACUGAAGGUGAUGUCCCUUGUCUGAGAUCACACAGAAUUAAGCAAAAGACCAGACCCAGUAUGAGGCCUGGCAUCCUUGUUCCUGACUGGUCUGCCACCCUAACCCCAUCACUCUUGAACCAGGAGACAGAAACAAUUUUCCUACUGGAGAUGUGGCUCGGUAGAAAGAGAGCUUCCUUGCAUGCAUGAAGCCCUGGGUUCCAUCUGGAACACAAAAUGUAAUCUUCAUGGUUGUAAGUUUCUGUGAUCUUAGCACUCAGGAGGCAGGAGAGUCAGAAGUUCAAGUUUGCCCUUGGCUACGUAUGGAGUUUGAGGUCAGCCCAGACUAGACAUUUGUCUCGAGGAUUUUCUUUCCAUUUUUUUUUCUUUCCUUCUCUGUCUCUGUCUCUGUGUCUCUCUGUGUUUCUGUGUCUGUCUCUCUUUCUCUCUCUCUGUCUCUGUCUGUUUCUGUCUCUCUCUCUCUCUCUCUCUCUCUCUCUCUCUCUCUCUCUCUCUCUCUCUCUCUCUCUCUCAUUACUUCUGAAGUUGGACAAGAACUGCUAGUUUCUAGUUCUGUUGGCCUCCAUUGACUCUGGCUUUUCCUUUGCUGCGUGACCCUAGCUCCAAGUCAGGUCGCAGAGGCAAGGUUUAGUCACAGUCUCCCUUCCCCCUGUUGCAAACUGCUUAGCCCCAGGAGGGGCCCACACAUCUGUGAAGAG